rnacentral:rRNA from 1 species
CUUGAGUAAAUCAUGGUGCUCACAGCAGUCGUGCGGGCCCUGUGCCCUGUGAACAGUCUAUGCGGACUGAAUUGGUUUUGCAAGGCAUGACGAAACAUGACGUCGCUGCUGGUCGCGAAUGUGGGGGCUCAGGCCUCGUGUCUGGGCCGAGCGGUUUGCCAGUAGUGACGUAAUGAUCAAUGGAGACGGUAGCUGGCAUUGGUAUUGCGCGGCGAGAGGUGAAAUUUUGCGACCCCCGCAAGACCUCCUAAAGCGAAGGCGUCUGCCAAGGACGUGUUCACCAAUCAUGAACGAAAGUCAGAGGAUCGAAGGCGAUCAGAUACCGCCCUAGUUCUGACCCUAAACGAUGCCAACCAUCAAUCCGCGUGAGCACCCUAUCUAACGGGCUCGGCGGGCAGCUCCCUUCUUCCGGGAAACCAGAGUUUUUGGGUUCCGGGGGGAGUCUGGUUGCAAAGCU